ACUUCAGCUUUUAUUAUCGUAUCAAUAAAACCAAAAGCUUUUCUUAAUCAAAGCUGAGAUCUGGCGGAAGGCUGGAAGAAGAGCUAAAGGACUUGCAAACUGAAAAGUGUGCUUAUAAAAUCUGAAGUGUACUGACUUAGAAAAAUACCCAAGUAUGAAGAUUCCUGGUGUGUGUUUCAUGCUGGCGCUCUAUUACCUGUUUCAUUUCAACCUUUAACAAGAGUAGUUACAGUUGUUUCAUUUGAGUUGGUUUGCACAUAAUUCCUCUUUGAUAUGGUUAGGCCUUGUAAGGCCAGCUGUCCUGCUGAGGAAUGAUGACAAAAAAAGGCCGAAUUGCAGUGCUUCCAGCAAGCAGUUUGCUCUCCUUGGAAGCACGAUGACAAAAAUAAUCCGAAGCGAAUCGUUAGUCUGACCUCAGUCAAAACACUGGCAUGCAUUAGCAAAAAGAUGAUAGAGAGUAAAGGACAGGAAAGAGACAAUCUAGGGAGCUUAGAACAGUAACAAGAGGAUUAGAAACGAGUGUGUGACUUACUGUUAUAGUUCAUCUAAUAUGUAACUUUUAGAGUAAACAGUUGUAGGCAGUGAUAGGUAAAUCAGGUUCCCAGACUUUGCUGAUCUGGACCUACUAUGCUGCUUCAAACUGGUAUUUCUAGUUUCUAUCACGUUAUGUACCAAAAACUUACAUGAAGGUCAGAACUAAUGAGUGUUUUCUUCCCCCCCAUAAAGGUUAUUGCAGGAUAGGUUCCUUGUGACUCCCCUACCUUUUGGAGAAUCUUUAAUGUACCUCUUCUGCUUACGCUAGGGCCCUGCCUAAUGUGGGAGCUGAUACUCUAGGUGGUGUGGGUUCCUUCUGCCCCCCCUCCUGCCCUGAUCUCUUUUCUCUCCCUAGCUGCACAUCUUCACUAAAACAUGCAGGAACUUGUCUUGCAGGCCUCUGUCCCUGUGUCAGAUUUUGCUGUAAGCAGGCAGAGGGUUUAUUAGGAGAGGCAUUCGUGCGGUCUGAUUAUACGAAGCUGAAGCACAGUGCCCACGUGAAGUGGACAGCCCCCCAAUGGUGAUGUUGAACAAAUCAGUUGGGGAAGAAUCCCUAGCACAACUAGGGGCUUUUAUGGUAGAACAAGUCUUGUUAGUAUUGUGUUCAGUGCUUUGGCUUUGUUAGUUCUGGUGUUACUGUCAGGGAGAAAAUUUUUUAAAGUGAAAGUGAUUUUUAAAAAGGAACUGUGAACAUGUCAAAAUAGACUGGUGUUUAAAGCAACAACUACAGGCCUCUCUUUGUUCAGAAAUUUUAGAAAUUUUAUAGUAAAUAACUAAAACUUUCAGACUUUAUAGCAAGCGAAAAUGAGCGGUAGACGUUUCAGGUCUAAAGGCAUGUUAAUAGUUUAAUUACCUGCAGUACCAAUUUAACUAGAAAGUUUGGAUUUCCUUUUACUAAUGACCCCUAGAAUAGAUUCUUCUUUGGCUCUGAGCAAUGCUUGGAGGAGAUUCUUUGCAUGUACUAGAGAAGUUUGAUUAGAUAGCAGUAAACCCUUCCCCCUGCUGCUUACACCCCCCAUCCCCCCUGCCCCCUGAGUAUGUGAAUGUCGCCUGGUAACCUGUUGCCAGUAAUUAGUGCUGGAUUCUGGAGGUGUGCCAGAGGAGUUGUGGGACAAUUUAACUACAGUGAGAAUGCUUUUAAUCCAUGCUGAUUUAAUAAAUUGGGCACCGGUAUAUUCCUGCCAAAGUUGCGCUGUUACACUUUGGGAAUUCUGGUCCUGUGCCAGGUUGUAACCAGCAUGGAGAAACACCAUUGCAAAAACUGUCAAACGUGGAAAGGCUUUUUUUUUUUUUUUUUUUUUUUUUUUUUAAAUCACUUCUUGAUUCAGGAAUGAUCAUCCAGUUUUUCUGCCUGGCCUGCUGAGCUUUCUGCAAGGCUGGCCAGCAGUAUUUGUCCGGAGAGGAGAGCAGCAAGCGCGUAGCAAUGGUUACCCCCUGUCCUGGGCCCUGUGGUUCAGGGGGUGUCUGAGGCAGAGGCAGUAUCUACACUUGCCCGUUUUGAUGAGCUCCAUCAAAAGCAAAAGGUGUUGGUUUUACUUUAUGAUGGCAACAGAUAGGACACAACAGGUUGGGCUGAUUAUUUAGCUGCCCCAUAAAAGCAGACUUCUUUUGUCUAGGCAUGCAACUACGGUUAGCGAUACCAGCUGAACUUUGAAGUAUACAGCAGUAGGUUAAGAAUGGCAUUCUGAAUUUGUGGAAUACUUUUUCAGUUGUUGCCAUAAAAACAUGGUUUUAUUACACAUCAGCAUCCCAAGUGUUGGUAAAACUGAGAACUCCUGCUCAGCAGAGCCUUUAGCAUUCUGAAUCAAGCCAGUAACGAUGAUGAUGUGGCAAUGGCGAGGUGAUAUGUGAAGAUUUGGGAAUUGGAAUUGUAGAUUAAACAUGCACAAAGCAAGCUGAAGGCUGUUGUUUUUGUUCAGUAUGGGUCCUGAUCUCUCUCCUCAGAUAUCCUGCUGUAUUGCAAAACUUGAUUUGAGAGUUUUAAAAGUAGAACGUCUCUCUAAUUGCAUGUGUUUGUGUGAAGAAUGCAAUGCCUGGAAACUGUCCGUUAUACUUCCAUUGGAUCUGAAACUACUUUUCACCAUCUGAAACAUGGUAACGAUACUGCAUUUUAAAACGAGCUUAUCCUUCUUAAUUCAGAAGAGCAAAAUAAUUUGAGUUUUCAUCAUUCUUUUAGUCUGAAGCUUAAGUCCAAAGCUUUGAAGCCAGUUACUUCUAUGAUAAACAUAACUGCAGAGCACCAUUUGAAGUUGCUAGUCUGUCUCAGCAACUACUUGCAAUCGACUGUCUCUUAUGGUAACCUUGUUCUAACUUGGUUGCAUUGUUUGGAUUAAGCACUGGGCUAUGUCUUUUCCAUUGUAUAUGUACAACUGUAAGAAUGUCAAGUUAUCCAUUGUUGUAAUUUAAUGGUUAAAAGCUCAAAUUCCGUAAUAAAUUAUACAGAUCUUUUAAAAAGCAA